AGUGAACGCUGGCGGUAGGCCUAACACAUGCAAGUCGAACGGCAGCACAGUAAGAGCUUGCUCUUACGGGUGGCGAGUGGCGGACGGGUGAGGAAUACAUCGGAAUCUACUUUUUCGUGGGGGAUAACGUAGGGAAACUUACGCUAAUACCGCAUACGACCUACGGGUGAAAGCAGGGGAUCUUCGGACCUUGCGCGAUUGAAUGAGCCGAUGUCGGAUUAGCUAGUUGGCGGGGUAAAGGCCCACCAAGGCGACGGUCCGUAGCUGGUCUGAGAGGAUGAUCAGCCACCCUGGAACUGAGACACGCUCCAGACUCCUACGGGAGGCAGCAGUGGGGAAUAUUGGACAAUGGGCGCAAGCCUGAUCCAGCCAUACCGCGUGGGUGAAGAAGGCCUUCGGGUUGUAAAGCCCUUUUGUUGGGAAAGAAAAGCAGCAGGUUAAUACCCCGCUGUUCUGACGGUACCCAAAGAAUAAGCACCGGCUAACUUCGUG
rnacentral:rRNA from 1 species